rnacentral:rRNA from 1 species
CCCUUAGAUGUUCUGGGCCGCACACGCGCUACACUGAAGGAGGCAGCGUGUACUCCUGGAUCGAAAGAUUUGGGUAACCCGCGAAUCUCCUUCGUGCUAGGGAUUGAGGUUUGCAAUUAUCCUUCAUGAACGAGGAAUUCCCAGUAAGUGCAAGUCAUAAGCUUGCGCUGACUACGUCCCUGCCCUUUGUACACACCGCCCGUCGCUACUACCGAUUGAAUGAUUUAGUGAGGACUUCGGACUGGGACCGAUGCGGCUUUCGGGCUGCGUCGGUAUUCUGGAAAGAUGUCCAAACUGUAUCAUUUAGAGGAAGUAAANGUCGUNACA